GACGAACGCUGGCGGCGUGCCUAACACACGCAAGUCGAACGGAGAUACGAUUUCGGUUGUAUCUUAGUGGCGAACGGGUGAGUAACGCGUGAGCAACCUGACCUUUAGAGGGGAUAACACUUGGAAACAGGUGCUAAUACCGCAUAAGACCACGACCUGACAUCAGGAUGAGGUCAAAGGAGAAAAUCCGCUAGAGGAGGGCUCGCGUCCCAUUAGAUAGAUGGCGGGGUAACGGCCCACCAUGUCGACGAUGGGUAGCCGAGCUGAGAGGCUGAUCGGCCACACUGGAACUGAGACACGGUCCAGACUCCUACGGGAGGCAGCAGUGGGGAAUAUUGGGCAAUGGGCGCAAGCCUGACCCAGCAACGCCGCGUGAGGGAAGAAGGCCUU
rnacentral:rRNA from 1 species